GGUCAGGCUGUCUGCAAGUGAUGGUGAGAGCGAACUCCGCCAGGUCGGGAACGAAGCAACGGUAACUUUUGCUUUGCUGUGCUGUGCAGCCUGGCCGCU
rnacentral:SRP_RNA from 1 species